UACGUAGGGCGCAAGCGUUAGGCGGAAUCACUGGGCUUAAAGCGUGUGUAGGCGGAUGCCUAAGUACCUUGUGAAAUCCCACGGCUCAACCGUGGAACUGCUGGGUAUACUGGGUGUCUUGGGCCAACUAGGGGUCGCUGGAACAAAUGGUGGAGCGGUGAAAUGCGUAGAUAUCAUUUGGAACGCCAAGGGCGAAAGCAAGCGACUGGGGUUGUGCCGACGCUGAGACACGAAAGCCAGGGGAGCGAACGGG
rnacentral:rRNA from 1 species